rnacentral:rRNA from 1 species
GACGAACGCUGGCGGCGUGCUUAACACAUGCAAGUCGAACGGAAAGGCCCUGCUUUUGUGGGGUGCUCGAGUGGCGAACGGGUGAGUAACACGUGAGUAACCUGCCCUUGACUUUGGGAUAACUUCAGGAAACUGGGGCUAAUACCGGAUAGGAGCUCCUGCUGCAUGGUGGGGGUUGGAAAGUUUCGGCGGUUGGGGAUGGACUCGCGGCUUAUCAGCUUGUUGGUGGGGUAGUGGCUUACCAAGGCUUUGACGGGUAGCCGGCCUGAGAGGGUGACCGGCCACAUUGGGAAUGAGAUACGGCCCAGACUCCUACGGGAGGCAACAGUGGGGAAUAUUGCACAAUGGGCGGAAGCCUGAUGCAGCAACGCCGCGUGCGGGAUGACGGCCUUCGGGUUGUAAACCGCUUUCGCCUGUGACGAAGCGUGAGUGACGGGAAUGGGUAAAGAAGCACCGGCUAACUACGU